AGAGGUUAGCGGCACAGAGGGUCAGUUAUAUGAUAAUAAAUAGAGGUUAGUGGCUCAGUUAUAUGAUAAUAAAUAGAGGUUAGAGGCAGAGAGGGUCAGUUAUAUGAUAAUAAAUAGAGGUUAGAGGCAGAGAGGGUCAGUUAUAUGAUAAUAAAUAGAGGUUAGUGAUCACAGAGGGUCAGUUAUAUGAUAAUAAAUAGAGGUUAGUGGCUCAGAGGGUCAGUUAUAUGAUAAUAAAUAGAGGUUAGCGGCAGAGAGGGUCAGUUAUAUGAUAAUAAAUAGAGGUUAGUGACACAGAGGGUCAGUUAUAUGAUAAUAAAUAGAGGUUAGCGACACAGAGGGUCAGUUAUAUGAUAAUAAAUAGAGGUUAGCGGCACAGAGGGUCAGUUAUAUGAUAAUAAAUAGAGGUUAGUGAUCACAGAGGGUCAGUUAUAUGAUAAUAAAUAGAGGUUAGCAACACAGAGGGUCAGUUAUAUGAUAAUAAAUAGAGGUUAGUGGCUCAGAGGGUCAGUUAUAUGAUAAUAAAUAGAGAUUAGUGGCUCAGUAAUAGGAUAAUAUAGAGGUUAGUGGCUCAGUAAUUGGAUAAUAUAGAGGUUAGUGGCUCAGUAAUAGGAUAAUAUAGAGGUUAGUGGCACAGAGGGUCAGUUAUAUGAUAAUAAAUAGAGGUUAGUGGCUCAGUAAUUGGAUAUGGAGCUCAGACAGCCUACUUGCCCGGGGCUCGGGGUCCACACACGGGGGCCGGCAGUCAGUCAGUCCAGGGAUCCCCCAGGGGGGCCGGCCGGCAGUCAGUCCAGGGAUCCUUCGGGGGGGCCGGGCGACCUAUUGUUUGUGUGAGCAGCCGGCAGGCGGUGACUCAGGGAUGACCCAGCGGCACUUCCUGGUCUCGGCAGCAGGGACUGAGCGCGGCUGGAUGGGGGAGGCCGUAUCCCUGAUCGCCCGGCUUCCCACCGACCGCUCCUGUCAGCUCGAAUCAGCUGAUCGCUCUGAACUUCGGCCUUUUUUUUUUUUUUUUUUUACCGAGACUGAAUUACAAAACAAAGGACGUCACAGGAAAGUGCGCGCACGGCAUGCCGGGGGAUGCAGUCCAAGGUGUUUUCGUUUAGAAUGCGGCUGAAGGCGGGACAAGACUUCAUUUCCCGUCAUGCUCCGCGCGAGGCUGUCAGUACAG